rnacentral:rRNA from 1 species
CCUACGGGAGGCAGCAGUGAGGAAUAUUGGUCAAUGGCCGGAAGGCUGAACCAGCCAAGCCGCGUGAAGGACGAAGGUGCCAAGCAUUUUAAACUUCUUUUGUCAAGGGACAAAAUCAGGCUCGAGAGCCUGACCGAGGGUACUUGAAGAAAAAGCAUCGGCUAACUCCGUGCCAGCAGCCGCGGUAAUACGGGGGAUGCGAGGGGUGUCCGGAUUGAUUGGGUUUAACGGGUGCGUAGGCGGGCUGUUAAGUCAGCGGUAAAAGCCCGGGGCUCAACCCCGGCGAGCCGUUGAAACUGGCUGUCUUGAGAUGUCGAGAGGUAUGCGGAAUGCGCAGUGUAGCGGUGAAAUGCUUAGAUAUAGCGCAGAACUCCGGUGGCGAAGGCAGCAUACCGGCGGCGAUCUGACGCUGAGGCACGAAAGCGUGGGUAUCGAACAGGAUUAGAUACCCGAGUAGUC